rnacentral:rRNA from 1 species
CCUACGGGAGGCAGCAGUGAGGAAUUUUCCGCAAUGGGCGAAAGCCUGACGGAGCAAUACCGCGUGAGGGAUGAAGGAUUUUGGUCUGUAAACCUCUUUUCUCAAGAAAGAAGUUCUGACGGUACUUGAGGAAUAAGCAUCGGCUAACUCCGUGCCAGCAGCCGCGGUAAUACGGGGGAUGCAAGCGUUAUCCGGAAUGAUUGGGCGUAAAGCGCCUGUAGGUUGUUUAUUAAGUCCGUUGUUAAAGCCUAGGGCUCAACCCUAGAAAAGCAAUGGAAACUAGUAGACUAGAGUAUGGCAGGGGUAGAGGGAAUUUCUAGUGUAGCGGUGAAAUGCGUAGAUAUUAGAAAGAACACCGGUGGCGAAAGCGCUCUACUGGACCAUUACUGACACUCAGAGGCGAAAGCUAGGGUAGCAAAAGGGAUUAGAUACCCCUGUAGUCCUAGCCGUAAACGAUGGAUACUAGAUGUUGUGCAUUAUGUACAGUAUCGUAGCUAACGCGUUAAGUAUCCCGCCUGGGGAGUACGCUCGCAAGGGUGAAACUUAAAGGAAUUGACGG